AAACAUAUUUCCUCACACCCCGUAAGAGAUUUUCAACAUUGUUAGAUCUUUGAACAAGCGUUACACCAAUACUUCUCCUAUAGUCUUCUAACAACAACAAAGAAGCACACCACUUUCUUAAUUUCCUAAUCAAUAACUAUGAUGGACUUUGAAUCACCAUGAAUCAAAAUACUUUUUUCCAACAAAUAGAAAGACAACCCUUCCAAUUUGUAAACACAUUUAGAAAAAACAAUCACUUUCUUACAAACAAAAAUCACCACACACUUGGUGUAAAAUACAACAAACAGAUAGAAUUUAGUACAUACAGACUUAACCACAAAUUUGACAAAAUUUAAAGUUUAGUUGCUUUUUUGAUAUAAGUCAAUCUUCCCCUUCAAUAAACAAGUCAAUAUGAUAUAAAUAUUUAAGUGCUCAAGUUCUUUCACUAAACUUUUUUACACAUGAAUGAAAAUUAUGUAAGAAAAAGUUUAUCUGUUGAUAUUUUACUGGCACUUGAAACAUAUGAAAAUUAUUCAUGAAAAAGAUAAUUUGAAUAAUAUUUUUUUUCCUAUUUAUAUGGCAUAAGAAAUCUCUUGCAAGCAAUGACAAAGUUUAGAAAUUUCAGAAUAAAAUUUACAAUGGUUUGGAAAGGGUGCUAUGAAGAUGUGUCAAUGAAAAGGUUUAACACUAAUUCAUAAUUUUUUCAAAUUUUUGCAGAUGAGAAUCGAUUCCUUAUGUUCCAACAUUCAAAAAUGCCAAAAUUCUCAAUAUGACAAUCGAUUUCUUAAGAUGGUCAACCGAUUGCUUUAGUUCAAAUUUGGAACCAACUAUCGAUUUUCUAAGGAUGACAAUCGAUUAUUCAAGUGAAAUUCUUCAAAAUAUUCUUGGCAGAGAUUUAUGACAAUUGAUUGAUGUAUCAGGUCAAAAAUCGACUGCUUCUUGAAAAACAUGCAAUUUUUGCUAAGUUAAAAUGCAAUAUUGGAAUUUCUGCAUGCUUAAAAGUUUAUGAUUAAUUCUUGAGCACAUAAACCUUAUAACAACUAAUUUUCACGUUUUACCUUGAUCUAUGAUCCAAUUCCAUUGAAAUUCAAAAUUUUAUGCAAACUUGAUACUUUGAUUCCAUCUUCUUCUUCUUUGAUCUUUCUUCUAAGAUAAGUUUUUGUCUUCAUUAAAACCAAGCUAAGAAGGAUGAACAAAUUUUCUUCACAAUCUCCCCCUUUUUAUAAUGACAAAAUAUAUAGAUAGGAAGUUUUUGCUUGACACUUAACUUCUCUCCCUAUCUUGUAUAUUUUCCCGUAUCUUUUAUAUAUCACCCUUACUUUUUAAAAUUUAUGCCCUUGUCUUUG
rnacentral:lncRNA from 1 species